rnacentral:lncRNA from 1 species
GUAUUUUGAACAUGAACAACAUCAAUAAGUCACUCCAUCACAAAUCCCAUUCUAUCAACAUACCGUAAGACAAUAGCCAUUUGCUCCUUGCGGGACGUAUCAAAAGAUUCAUCAACUAGCAAUGCAAAGUAAUCACCAUUUAGUUCCUCAAUUAUAGCUUUAGUUGUUUCUAUCUUACAUGCAGUAACAAUGUCUUUCUGAAUCAUUGGAGAAGUCAUUUGAUCAUUUUGAGGAGCAUGUUCCAGUACAUAAUCACGAACAUUAUCACACACUUUUGCAUACCAUGAAAGAAUUUGAAGAAAAUUACCCCUACUAAGUGAAGACUUAGAUUCAUCAUGACCUCGAAAUGCUAAUCUUUGAGUUAUAAGAAGCCUUACUACAUUAACUGAAGCAGUUAAGCGGAUCAAAUACUCAUGUUUAAGUUGACUAGAUUGUCUCUCAAAUGAAGAUUGAAUAGACCGUUGUUGCCGCAAAUCAUGGAAUUUCUUUUUUGACUCAUUGUGAAUGCUACUCGACCCAUGUUUAUCAAAACUUUUCUUUUUAUGCCAACUCUUAUACCCUAUACUUGAAAAUACAUCACCUCCAUCUUGAUGAAUAUUAUUAUCUUUAAAUAGAUAACAAUACAAACAAUAAGCUGCAUCUUUACUUACAUUGUACUCCAACCAAUCAUGAUAUUCAUCAUCAAACCAUUUAGGAUUAAAUCGACACACUAAUUCAGAAAAAUUUGUUUUAGGAAAGUUAUGAAGCCGAGGUUGACAAGGACCUUGUCGAAGGUAUUCUCUUCUAAUAACAUCACGAUGAUUUGGAUGGAAGUUCAAGUUUUGAGUUCUUUCUCCCGGUCAAACUUUAAAGAAUCCAAAUCAAAUUCAUCAGAAGAUGGUACUUCUAAAUGGUUGAUAUUCUCUUCCUGGAUAGGUUGAGAAUGAGAUGCCAAAUUUGGUUUUGGUGCUUUGGUAAAAUAUCUCUUCACAGAAUUUUGAGACUGGAUUAUAAAGUAGGAAUGUAGUUAGAAAAAUUAAUAUAUAAUGUUGUAUUGGAUUAAGCUUAAAGAAGAAUUAGUUUAGUGUAGACUUUCUCAUAAUUCUUUAACAAAUGGCUAGGAUGUCCAGAUUGGGAAUUUGUUUUCCAAUGUGAUAGACAAUCUGAAUAUUGGGCAUUUGUUUUCCAAUGCAAUAAUAUUGAUGCACAGUAAAGAAAAGAACUCUAUACAUCAUGUGGCAUCAAUUCUAAUGCAAAUCGACAGCAGAUUGAAGAACUCUCUUAACACUUUGAACUAGAAAUUACACCUCCAUUAUAAUUUGCAGAAAGGCCACUUUACAGAUGCAGAUAAAAAAGAUUUUAGAGUCCGUCGGCACAUCCAAAAUGUUCCUAAUCCAUAGGUAAAUCAAUCAGUAUAUAAACUUUUUUGCAAAUCAUUUUUCAUUUUGUGAUGCCUAAGAUAUUUAUACUUGUUUGCUAAAGAAUUUAAGGCGUCCUAACGGACAAGCAGCAAGCACCACUAGUAUGAACAAUUAAAUCAUCACAAUUGACAACCAUAAACUCUCUUUCUUUUCGAUUUUAGGUUUUAUCUUUUUCAUCAUUAAGUCUAAUGAGAAGGUUCUAUGUUUAAUAUUUCUAAUGAGAAGGUUCUGUGUUAAUAUUUUCAACAAUAAAACAUUAAUAAACUUCUAAAAUUUACCUGGGAAUGGGAUGCCAAUACCAUGACAAAACUCAGAAGAAACGCCGGCUACAGGGGCAUCGAGGCAACGGAGAGCAGUGGCGGAGCAGUGCCAACGAGCGAGAGGGAUCGAAGAGAGAGGGGGGGCU